GGUGAGUAACACGUGGGUAACCUGCCCAUCAGAAGGGGAUAACACUUGGAAACAGGUGCUAAUACCGUAUAACAAUCAAAACCGCAUGGUUUUGAUUUGAAAGGCGCUUUCGGGUGUCGCUGAUGGAUGGACCCGCGGUGCAUUAGCUAGUUGGUGAGGUAACGGCUCACCAAGGCCACGAUGCAUAGCCGACCUGAGAGGGUGAUCGGCCACAUUGGGACUGAGACACGGCCCAAACUCCUACGGGAGGCAGCAGUAGGGAAUCUUCGGCAAUGGACGAAAGUCUGACCGAGCAACGCCGCGUGAGUGAAGAAGGUUUUCGGAUCGUAAAACUCUGUUGUUAGAGAAGAACAAGGAUGAGAGUAACUGUUCAUCCCUUGACGGUAUCUAACCAGAAAGCCACGGCUAACUACGUGCCAGCAGCCGCGGUAAUACGUAGGUGGCAAGCGUUGUCCGGAUUUAUUGGGCGUAAAGCGAGCGCAGGCGGUUUCUUAAGUCUGAUGUG
rnacentral:rRNA from 1 species